CAAUGUCAGGAGAGCUUUUGUUAUUUGUUAUACUCUUAGUGUUGAUGGUAUCUAUGAACAACAGGAUAAUGUUUUUAGAUUAUUAUUUCUGAUAUCAUAUUUGUAAAUUGUUUAUGAGGGGUUGUUAAAGUUUGUGGACAAAAGGACACACUUAUUAAAAAUUCAAAGUUAUGAUAAGUAAAAAAUAUAGGAGAUGUGUAACAAGAUUGUAGAUUUGAACAUUUUAAUUUUAAUUAAUUUUUAUAAGUAUUGAUUUCAGAUACAUGUAUGACAUUGCAUGCUUGAUCGGGGAGGGGGGCUACAGUUAGAUAAUAUUCUGGUCAGCACAUUCGAUAAACUACAGUUGUACAUGGAACUCAUUAAAUCACUUCUUUUUCUUUCAGUGGUCUUCAACUUUUAAUCUCUAAGAAGGAAAUGUAAUUAAAAGAUGAAUAAAGUAUCCAUAAGAAUACCAGAAGAAAGGCUGUGUUGAGAAAAACAGCCCUUCCUCAGUACAUCAGAACUAGAUGAUAGCCCUUGUUACUUUAUGCUGAAUAUGACACAGUAUAGAAGAUCUGAUCAUGAAGAAGUUACACCAUUGAUACACUUGCCAACUGCCAAAACUACUUUCUGAUAGUAUGACGAGAUUAGAAGAUAUCAUGGUGUAGUCAUGACACAAACUGCAAAUCAAAGAUUGUCUUCCCCAGAGGAUGAACAGAGUGCUUCACAUGGAUAACAUUUCCUUUUCGACUUUUGAAAUUAGUAAGUAUACAAAAUAUUUUAGGCCACAUAGUCAUAAAAUUAUUUUUUAGAUUUCCAUCCUUGCUUGGAAAAAAAUGGGGCAGGUGGUGUAUUUUUUAUUUUUCAGAAUAUAUAUUUCCCGUUCAUUAUACUCGCAUGUUGCUGAAGAGUGUAGAUUACUUCAUAUAUUUUUUUACAUUGUUUUCUUUGGACAGAAAAUUUUCAUACAGCAAUAUUAUAAUUGUUUUUAAGUGAUUUUGAAGUACAUUUUCAUGUAACACUGAAGUUGAACAUUCUUUUGCGCUUUUUUUGAAUAAUAGUAAUUUUUAGCUCACCUGAGCUGAAAGUUUAAAUGAGCUUUUCCAAUCCCCUGUUGUCCGUCUGUCUGUAAACUUUCACAUUUCUGACUUCUUCUCAAGAACCACUGGGCCAAUUUCAACCAAACUUGACAAAAAGCAUCCUUUGUGAAGGGCUUUCAAGUUUGUUCAAAUAAAGGGCCACACCCCCUUUCAAAGGGAAUAUAGAAUUACAAAAUUGCAAAAAUAGGGUUGGGUCAUUUAAAAAUUUUCCCCUAAAGAACCACUGGGCCAGAAGAGCUGAAAUUUACAUGAAAGCUUCCUGACAUAGUGUAGAUUGAAGUUUGUUCAAAUCAUGACCCCCAUAGGUAGGAUGGGGCCACAAUAGGGGAUCAAAUAUUUUACAUACAAAUAUAAAGGUAAAAUCUUUAAAAAUCAUCUUCUCAAGAAACACUGGGCUAGGAAAGUACAAAUUUACAUAAAAACUUCCUGACAUAGUGCAGAUUCAGGUUUGUUAAAAUCAUGACCCCCUGGGGUAGAAUGGGGCCAUAAAAAUCUUCUUCUCAAGAACCAUUAGGCCAGAGCAGUUUACAUAAUUUACAUGAAAGCUUCCUGACAUACAGCUCUGUAGUGCAGAUUCAAGUUUGUAAAAAUAAAAUUUCGAAAAGGUGUCGCUGUGUUUGGUGUAAUUUUUGUUCGUUCUGCACAAACUUGCUCACUCAGCUUGACACAGCCUAGGUGUUCAUAUGUAAAUUUUUUAUUUUUCGUAACUUAAAAUGUCGUGUAGCAAUGGUGGCCAGAUCAAAUUUUCAUUCCAAUGUUAUAAUAGGACUAGACAUGGGUAUCAUUUUGCACAGUCUAUGCGAAAGACAUCGGACCGUCGGACCUGACCGAUGUGCAGUGCCUCAGGUCCGAUGUGUCAUUUUUUACACCGGACCGGAAUGUCCGAUGUCUCAGUAUUCGGUUUUAAGCUUUAUUAUUUUGACGCGGAGUCAAUUAAAUGUUUGUUGUAAGUAAAAAAUAUCACACAAAUCCAAAUACGUAAAUGAAUGUGAUUAAACCGCAUGGACCGUCUAAAGUAUUAUGCGGGAGGGAUCCCUGGUAUAGUAUUACUAGUAUAAUAAAUAAGAUUUCCUUGGUUUUACAUUUUCACAUGUUUCUCUUUUUUACAUUAGGUUUUUCGGUCUGACAAAAUUUGGUUCGGUCCGGUGUGUUCAUUGAUUACACAGGACCGAAUGUCCUGUGUGGUCCAAAAAACUUUCGUAUAGACUGUUUGCAUACAAUUUAAAGUAUGUUUUUGCAUAUACACAUUUUUCUAAUGCCUGUACACAUUGAAUUAUUAAACACCAGGCACGUCCUCCUAUCCCCUUUACAAGCUAUGUUUGUGUGGGGUUUUUUGGAGUUAGAUUUUAGGUAGGAGAAAUCAUGGCCCCGUGAGUAGGUUGGGCCACAAUACUUAAAUAGGGAUCAAAGUUUUAGAAGCGAAUAUGUAGAACAAAUCUUUAAAUAUGGGCCAAGGUGAAUCAGGUGAGCGAUGUGGCCCAUGGGCCUCUUGUUUGAAUAUACAGUUUAUGCAGGAUCAGGAUAUGCCAUUGCCGUAUCCGCUAAUUAAUGAGUCAUAAUUACCAUCAUUGUACCACAAAGCAACAGUCACUGUACUGUAGUUCUUUUGCUUAACAUUAUUCAAUUCAGUUUGCCAUCAUCUUCUUCUAGUCUAAGACACGCACACUCAAUAAUAAAAGUUCCAAACACAGAAUUGGGAAAUGGCAUGGUAUCGCAUACUUUCACAUUCAAUAGCAUCUCCAUUAAUCAAUUUUAACAAGGCAUACAUGUGCAGUCACUUGACCAAAUGCAUAUCACACUGCAACAGUCCUUCACAACUACCACAUCUUUGGGUACCCUUAUAAUAGAAACAUGUCAAAUAUAACCACAACAAGCCAAAAUGUUAGGGUCAGUCAUUGAAAUGCUCUAAAUGUUUGAUAUACAAGCCAAAUAUUUGUUCUCAACUUCUUUUUUUAAAAAAAAAGGUAGAAUAAAAAACAAUGGGGUGGAUAAUUUUGAGAGGGGUGGGCGUGGAUGAUAAUCUGUAACUAUGAAAUUCUAUGUGGCCUUAAGUACAGUAAAUAUGAAAGCAGAUCUUAGUAUUUAACAAUUUUGUUGAUCCAUAAUUUAUUUACAGAUUUUAUAUGAUCUUAUUUUGUAUAAUUAAAAUCUUAGAUGAUAUGUGUAGAAUAAUUAUAUCAUUUAGCAAAAUGUAAUGAUUUGUAAACUAUAGAUACAUAUACAUGUAGUAAAUUUGUGUAACAAUUAAUACAUUCAACACAAAAAUGAAUUUGCAUAUUUUAAUUUAUUUUUAGCUCACCUGAACCAAACGUUCAAGUGAGCUUUUCUGAUCACAUUUUGUCUGUCGUCUGUCUGUCCGUCUGUAAACUUUUCACAUUUUCGACUUCUUCUCCAGAACCACUGGGCCAAUUUCAACCAAACUUGGCCAAAAACAUCCUUGGGUGAAGGGCUUUCAAGUUUGUUCAAAUGAAGGGCCAUGUCCCUUUCAAGGGGGAGAUAAUCACAAAAAUAGGUUGGGGUCAUUUAAAAAUCUUCUUCUCAAGAACCACUGGGCCAGAAGAGCUGAAAUUUACCUGAAAGCUUCCUGACAUAUUGCAGAUUCAAGUUUGUUCAAAUCAUGACCCCCGGGGGUAGGAUGGGGCCACAAGGGGGGAUCAAAGUUUUACAUACAAAUAUAUAGGGAAAAACUUUAAAAAUCUUCUUCUCAAGAACCACUAAGCCAGAAAAGCUGAGGUCAAAAAUAAACAUUGAUUUGUUUGAUGUACUCCGACCGACCAAUCAAAUUUGCUCCUACCCGACCAUUUUUUCCAGCAAUUUAAAACUUUUUUUUGGGGGGGGGGGUCCCUUGAAAAAUAGAAAAUUCUCCUUAUUCUAAAAGAAAAUAUUACAAAUUUUCAUGACGUUAAACCCCCCCCCCCAAAAAAAAAAAACCUACCUACCGACCCACCUUGAAAAAUGUGAGUCAGAGUAUAUCAAACAAAAAUAUUUUUAAUGAUGGCCUGAGAUUUACAUGAAAGCUACCUGACAUAAUGCAGAUUCAAGUUUGUUCAAAUCAUGGGCCCCGGGGGUUGGAUGGGGCCACAAUAGGGGAUCAAAGUUUUACAUACAAAUAUAUAUGAAAAAUCUUUAAAUAUCUUCUUCUCAAGAACCACUGAGCCAGAAAAACUGAUUUUUACAUGAAAACUUUCUGACAUAGUGCAGAUUCAAGUUUGUUCAAAUCAUGGCCCCCGGGGGUAGGAUGGGGCCACAAUUGGGGGGGGGGACCCCAUCAGUAAGCACGCCCCCUACUUCUGGUGUAAUGGCAGUAACUGCAAAAAUGAAGGCCAUUGUGUACAAUACUUCAUUAUCAUUUAAUGUUGUUCACGUUCUUCUGACCCAGGGAUCGAAUAUUUUCCUACAAUUUACAGUGGAUCAAAGAGAAUUGUUUUAUAGUUUUUUUCUUCUUUAUGCAUAUAUGACCCAGUAUGUCUCUGCAGAGCACAGAUCUACAUCUGGCAUUUUCUAAUUACUUAAUGUUCACUAUUUUUAGCGAUCAAUUAAGUUUUUUAAAAUUAGUUUUUCAGUCAAAAUUAGCAUAAAUAUAAAUCUAUAGCUAACCAGGGGUAUGAUGCAUGUGACUCAAAUUUGUCAUUAUGCAGGGGCCUAUAUCUAUUCUACGAAGUAUAUUUGAUGCGCAUUAAAGUUUGAAAAUUUUAAUUCAAAAUAUGCAUUAAAACCGCUGUUUGAACAAGGCAUAAGUAUCAUUUUAAAGUUACAUAUGUACGUAAGUAUCUUUGCUAGAUAUGAUGUUCAAAAAGAUUAAUCAGUUUUUUUAAUUACUGAUUAGAUCACCUGAGUGGGUAUAAGGAUUGAUAAACUAAGAUUUUGAAUUUUUAUAAAAGCUAACAGACAGAUGAAAGAGCUUGAUAAAUACCAUAAUACAGUCCAUCAUAACAUGGGUGCAUGAAAAUCAGGUUCUAGAGCAGAUAUUAAUAGGUAGAACAUUGAUGAUACGUCUUAUCUGGUAUAUGUAAGUUGUAACACCCUCUUCAUUAAUACUGUGCAUUUUGACAAAAUAGUAUAUGAAGUCCAAUGGUUCCAUUGAAUUUGAACAUAUGUUGAAUACAUAUAUAGUUAGUAGUGGUAGGGAACAGGUAUUGCUUGAAUGUGUCUACUAGAUUUCUUGUUAAAUAACCUUCACUUUAAUUUCAGUCAAACAUAAUUUUGCAUCAAAGAGAAAAAGUGGCUUUGACAUAACCUAGAAAAUACAAUAUUCAUUAAAAAGAGCAUGGCACCAGGAUAGCUAGAUGCCCAUAUUCCCAGCAAAAUGAGCCAGUCCUAAAGAGAGUCCACUAGAGAUGAAAUAAAACACAUUAAAAUGUAUUGAGAAAAGAUUUGUCAGAAUGUUAUGCAUCAUGAUCAACAGAAAAGAACUUCACAGGUAGACCAAAGCUGACAUGGGAUGAGAUCCUAAAACGAGACCUAGAGUUUAGAGGAUUGGAUAGGAUCAAUCCACUGGGUCGCCAAGUGUAGAAGUACAAACUUCAACCUCGACAGGACAGCCAGGCCUCACCCUUGCAAAACUAUUAAUUUGGCCUGGAUAGUCAAAAUGAGUGAUGAUGAUGAUAUCAAGGUCUGACACUGUAAGCUCAGUAAGGGUAGAUGCUGGCAAUGGAGCUGUUAAGCAAUACAACAAACAGGUUUAACAUUGAACAUGUUUAUAUACUUUUUUAGCUCACCUGAGCCAAAGGCUCAAAUGAGCUUUUCUGAUCACCUUUGCCUGUCGUCUGUCUCUCUGUAAACUUUUCACAUUUUCAUUUUCUUCUCCAGAGUGAACCACUGG